UUGGUUGAAUUCUAAUGUAGAAUGCGGUCUAUUAUUUCUUGUUAACAGACGCUAAGUACCGUUGCCAUGAAAAACAAAGCGUUGCUAUGGACGCAGGAUUCUAACCUUAGAGACGGAAAGGGCUAUAUUUUCUUUAUUAUUUUCUUUAUUAUUUUUUCACAUUAUCCCUUACAUAAUAUAACGUAAUUAUUAGUAUUAUAACGCAAUAUAUCAUUAUAUAAAUAUAAUAAAAUAAAAAACGUUUAACACCUAACUGUUAUGUGACAAAUUCUAAAUCUGGCAGUGGGUAUAUAAGCUCACACACAGCGUACUCACACCUCACUCACUCAGUGGACAUCCCAACUGGACAUCCCAACUGGACAUCCCAACUGUCAGUUUCUCUGAGACCCUGCCCUACAGACAGACUAGCACGAUGUCAUCUCAGAAGGUGCUUGUGCCAAACAAUUUCCGAAACACACAGAAAAGGAAAUUGAUACAUGUAUAGGGGAAACCCUCAAACAUG